CACAUGAAGAGGUGGCAUGAGUUACAUUUCUGACAUCCACAAGAAAUCUCUUCCCAGAAUCUGUUGAAUGCACAAAAAACUGGAAAUUUUGCUUCCUCCAGAAAAAUCCAAAGCUUCUGGAGCAACAUGGCAAAUGAAUUAUUGGCAUCUCACCUUCUUUUAGCUCAGGUCAAAAAUAUUGAAUUUUCUGUCAUAAUCCUCAUCCUGGAACUGUUGCAUGGAUUUGGGGAAUGCGCACCUCUCAGCUUCACCUCUGUCGUGGAGAAAAGGAAGCAAGGAACACAAAACUGAAGUUUGAAAGGGAAUAACCCCCCCCCCAAAUAAAACCAGGAUUUUCUUCCCCUGAGCACAUAACAGCACGUUCAUGUGUGGGUUCAGCGUCAGUGUGGGCUCAGUGUUCAUGUGCCUGAGGUCAUGGAUUCCUCAUCUUCCUCACACUGCCAUUCCUGUGGCCAUCAGCGGCUGGCUGCAAACUGGGUGCCAGACAUCAUGCAACUCCCUAACCCAAAUUAAGGCUUUGAACCAAUUCUGGAAGGCCCUGGAUUCACAGCCAUUCCCUUAUUUUCUAUGCAUGGAUUGAUUUGGUUCAGACAAAACCUCUGCUGGGGCAGAUUCCUGUCUGAACCCAACCAGGGAUGAGUUCAUUCUGAUUGCUGCCUGACAGAAAAUAAUUAUUUCCAGGAAACACUGGAAUUGAGUCCAUAAUCCAUAAGCACAGAUCUUCUCAUCCUCCAAAGAAACCACCUGAGGAACAGAGAAGUAUUUCUAGCUAUCUACCAGACAAAGAAAUGGCUGCAAAGAUUGCUAUAAAAUGACAUUGGCACUGGAUCCAGGACUGUCACUCAAGCCAGAGUGGAGAGGGAGCUGCACCACAGCUCUCUCAGCCUUUGAUUAAUUAAUUGGGAGCACAAUGAGGUAGGGUUUCCUCUGACAGACAGCAAGAGAAACCCAGCAUCCACAUAUAAGUGAUGGCUUGCCCUCAGCUUUAAUUAGAUUCACAGAUGCAAGCACCACUUUGAAGAGGGAAUGACAAAAUAAUAAUUUUUUCCUACCUAUAUUCUCUUAUUUCCUACACAUAUUCUCAUUUCCUAAGGACAUCUGAUCCCACCAGUGCAUACCCUAGCCGAACAUCCCUCUGUGCAAUCAUCUCAAAUCCCACCACCAGACAUUAUUUUAUUCCUCCCAUGUAUUCCUGUUCUUCCCUAUCACUGCUACGUAGACAGUAACUUCCAAAAAUCAUUUUCUCCUACAAAUGUUCACUUUCUCACCAAUGUUCCUUAUCUCACAUCCUAUUGUUGUGUUGUUUUGGUUUCCUUUUUCACUUUCUCAACUGUACUUUUGUGCCAUGAAGCCUCCCCAAAUCAGAAGAGGGUGCACAUCAAAACAGCGGAUAUUUUUAUUUUAUUUUAUUUUACUUUAUCUUAUUUGCCGCACAACCGGUAAUUUCAUUUUUCUUUGUAUUAUUGCCAUAUUGCUGUAAUACAAUUGAAACAGAAAGGGAAUAUUUACGCAUCAAUAAAAUAAAUACCAUAAUAUGAGUCAGUAAGAGGUUAGGUUGGGGUUUUUUUUCCUGGUAUGAAGUCACAAAUUCUAGAACAAAUAAUUAAUUACUAAUAGGCAGACUGAAGAUAUGUGACAGCAAAACCAUGGUAUUUCUUCUGGCUGUCAGGUCCAAUGGCAGUUAAAAUAUUUUUGACUAUGAGCAGUAAUUCUUUUUAGGCCAGGAAUUUCCGAGCUUUAUGGUUUUUAAUGUUUAUUCUUUUUUUUUUUUUUUUUCCUGGUUAAGGAACAGCAAGAUUUUAUUAAAUACUGAUUUCCAGGCUGGGAUGCUUUAGCAGCUCAUUAGACUGUCUGUGAGCUGAUCAGUGUUUCAGAGAAGGGAUUCCAGUUAGCUGGUUUAGCUCUGGUUAAGGGACUGUGGUUGCCUAGAGGGAAAGAAUCACUAAGACACAUCACCCCCUCUUUCAGCCCUCAUUGUCUCUAUGUUCACUUUUUGGCACAGAAACCAAUGUCCACCCAAUUUAAUCCACACUGUGCCCAGUCUGAACCCCUGAUUUUUGUAACUGAGAUAAAGCAGCAAUAAAAAAAAAAAAAACAAAAAAACGAAAAAACCCUUAUUUUUCUCUUUCAAAAGACUUGGGCCAAACUGUCAGACGACACAGAAAAUUAGAGUUACAUCAGUUUCUGCCAUGGGCAAAAUUCUGCUGCUCAGAACAUGAACUGCACCUCAUGUGAAUGUUGAUAUAUCCAAAUGAGACACUGCACUAAAACCAGGGCUACAAAUCCAGGAGAAGGUGGACAGACCUCACUGCCAGUCCCAGUUCUCAAAAUCGUGUGGAAAUUGAAAUUUCAAAACAUUUUUCAAGAUUUCUUCCACAGCUUCUUGCAGCUUCUAAUGUGCCAAGCCCUCCAAAUGGCCAAAACCAGUGUGCCCAACUGAGUAGUUAAAUAUUCUGUGCUUUUUUUUCUUCUAUGACUUCCACAAAUUUGUUGAUGGACCUUUCUAAAUAAAAUUAUUUUUUGCUUCUAAUACAA